rnacentral:tRNA from 1 species
GAGGGUAUAACUCAGUGGUAGAGUACAUGCUUAGCAUGCACAAGGUCCUGGGUUCAAUCCCCAGUACCUCCA